AACGGCCCCAGGAGAAGUCAUUAACACACUGUGUGGAUACAAGACACUAAAUAAAGAGCGCCUGGAGCUGGUGGCCACUAUUCACGUACGUGGCUGCAUCCAUGCGGUCGGCUUGUGGCUUAAAGACAAUUUUGAAGCCACUUUUGGAAUUGUUUGCUCUCUGCUGUUUCCACAGGUAUGUAAAAAAUGUGUUGCUCCUGGCUGACUAUUCAGAGGUGUGUGUUUCCCCCCAAAACAGAGGUGAAGACAUUACUUCUUUGCUAUAGAUCACCAUGAAACUACAUUCCAAAUACUUUUUUUAGAGACAAAAUUCUGCAUUAAUUAAGCCAGAUGGUUGGGGUAUUGAUAAAAUUAUUGUCAAAAAUUAUUCAGUAUGGCUAUUUCCAUUAACUGACAGGCCCUCGUUUCUUCCUCUGGAAUUCUGAUCCUUACCUCGUUUUUUCAGAGACUCCAGAUAGCAACAUGGAAAAAUUGCCAGAGUUUGCUUCCAUGUUUUUUUCAACUUGAUUUGUGGCACUGAAAAUGGGUUGCAAUAAACCCCAAUUGCACUCCAGUCUAUCCAGAGUGGGAAGGCAAAGCACAGCUGAGGUUUUGCAGGUCUCCUGUACCUUUAACCAAAAGUUUCCUGCUGUUGCUUUCUGUUUCAUUGCUCAUGGACAUCAAGUGUCCUAGAUUCUAACCUUCAUAUCUAAUAAAACUUCUUUUAAAGGCAUAGAUACAUAGAUAAUUGAUCAGUGCAGAUAAUUUAUCAUACUUCUGGUUCAUAUAUCAUAAAAUUAUUCAGUCAUGUACCCAAAAAUGCUCUUGUUACUGUUUAACAGCCACUUAUGAUUAAUUCUCCAUUUGUAACAGCCAUGGCAUAUUUCAUUAGCUUUCAGUUGUGGUUCCAAUCUGUUACACAUAUCAGAAAACCACUCUGUCUCUUCAUCUCUAGGAAACUAACAUAAGGGAAGUCAUAAUACUGCUUUAUUCUGCCUUGGGAAAUCCUGUAUGUGGUUGGAGCCCUACAGCCUUUUUUAAUGUGUCCACAGACUCUUUCCAGUCAGCUAGUGCCAUGACCUUUGUAUCCAACAGGGACUGGGACACGAGAGUCAGAGGCUGCAGGCUCUUCACACUGAUGAAGAAUGAUGAUGUUGGUGACAAGCAGGCACCUCAUGUGUGUUGUUAACUAUCCUAAAGAGCCAGUUGUGGCAUAGUGGUUAGAGUGUCAGAAUAGAGCCUGGGAGACCAGGAUUCAAAUCCCUGCUCAGCCAUGAAGCUCACCGGAUGACCUUGAGCUAGUCACUGUCUCUCAGCCUGAUCUACCUCACAGGGUUGUUAUGAGGGUAAAAAUGAGAGGAGGGAAGUGUGUGCACCAUCUUGAGCUCCUUGAAGGGAAAAGUGGGGUUUAAGUGUGCCAAAUAAAUAUUAAGCCAGUU